CCCUCCCCCUUUCUUCAUGCCUAACACAUGCAAGUCGAACGAAGGCUUCGGCCUUAGUGGCGCACGGGUGCGUAACGCGUGGGAAUCUGCCCUUUGGUUCGGAAUAACAGCUGGAAACGGCUGCUAAUACCGGAUGAUGACGAAAGUCCAAAGAUUUAUCGCCAGAGGAUGAGCCCGCGUUGGAUUAGGUAGUUGGUGGGGUAAAGGCCUACCAAGCCGACGAUCCAUAGCUGGUCUGAGAGGAUGAUCAGCCACACUGGGACUGAGACACGGCCCAGACUCCUACGGGAGGCAGCAGUGGGGAAUAUUGGACAAUGGGCGCAAGCCUGAUCCAGCAAUGCCGCGUGAGUGAUGAAGGCCCUAGGGUUGUAAAGCUCUUUUACCCGGGAAGAUAAUGACGGUACCGGGAGAAUAAGCCCCGGCUAACUCCGUG
rnacentral:rRNA from 1 species